rnacentral:rRNA from 1 species
UACGGGGGGGGCAAGCGUUGUUCGGAAUUACUGGGCUUAAAGCGCACGUAGGCGGCAUCGCAAGUGUGGGGUGAAAUCCCACGGCUUACCCGUGGAACUGCCUGGCAGACUGCGAUGCUCGAGUGUGGUAGGGGAGAGCGGAACUCCUGGUGGAGCGGUGAGAUGCGUAGAUAUCAGGAGGAACACCGGUGGCGAAGGCGGCUCUCUGGUCCACAACUGACGCUGAGGUGCGAAAGCUAGGGGAGCAAACGGG